UCAUAUAAAGGACAUCUGAUAAAUUUAGAUUAUAUAUUUAUUUUUUAACUUAUACCAAAUUGUAUUGUCCACAAAAUAUAUUUUAGUGUUUUAAUAUAAGCUUUGUGUCUAUUAUCUAGACUGUAGCAUGUAGUUAAGUGAUAUAAAGCUUAACCAAAGACACAGUGAUCGAGUGUGCUUAUUUUAUCUAAUUAUGUAAAAACAUUCACAAAAUACUGAGAACUUUCACAAAUAUACUAGCUGUGUACAAAUUACUGUACAACAUUACAAUUUGUACACAACAUAUAUACUAAAGCUGAUUUUUGUCAGUCAACUUAAGGUAGCUACAAUGUACCAUUGGAUUUAUAGAGGGGGGGGGGCUAGGAUUAAAAAAAAAAAGUCAGGAUAAACUAAUAAAAAAAGGGCAUAACGGGGAAUAGAGUGAAAAAUAAAAAGGCAGGACAGAGAUUUCAACUAAAAAGAUGCAGGACAAAAUUUUUCAUCCUUAAGCCCCUCCCAUAAAAAUCAAAUGGUAGCUCCCUUAUGCAUGCAGUUUCCUAUAUUUUUUUAAUUAUCACCAUAAUGAUAGUUCUUAUAAUUAAUUGAAUUGAAUUAAAUCACUUUUUUUUUAUUUAUCAAAAUAAAGGAUCCUGUGUAUAUUUUUCUUUCCAGUCACUCACUUAGACAUGACUAAAAGUUGAUUGUGAUAAAAGUAUACAUGUACAUGUAUAAUGUAGCAGUAUAGAAUAGCUUAUCAAAACACUGAUCAAUGUCUAAAAGAGGAGCAGAACCCACUACUUCAAGUGCGCAUAUCGCCUUCAAACAAAAAAGAGGAAAAAAAGAAUGCCCAGGCUGCAAUCAGUGGUUUGGAAAUAGGCACUUCGAAAAUCAUAAAACCAAAUAUUUUAGGCAUGGAAAUUGGAGAUGUAAAACUAGUGAUCCUCAAGAAUGUGAGGUUGAGGAGGAUGUAGUUUUAUCUACAAAUUCAAGUACUGCAGAAAUACAUAAAUCACCCUUGGUGUCAGUGAUCAGAAAAAAAAUACAUCAAAAGUUGAAUUCUGGUUUGAAUCCUGGAGAUGAACAAUCUGAAGAUGAAGAUGAAGAAUUUUGGCACAAUCUAACAUUAGCUGACAUUGAUGCAGACUUCAAUGGGCAGGAUGAAUCAGCUAAUGACACUCAUUAUUUAAAUAAUUUUUCACAUGAUGCUAUAAAUGAUGACAAUUUGAAAAAAACAACUUUUUAUUUAUUUGUUUGUCUGUGCAUUUUUAUCUGUACUUGGCAAUCUUCUCAUGUUAUUCCUGAUAUUGCAGUCCAAAAUUUGUUAUUGUUUUUA